UAUAAAAGGGUUUAUUGCAUCAAUAGGCAAUCCCAUAAUUUUUGGAUAAUUAUUUGGAGUUGAAAAACUAUUUGAUUUAAAUAGUUAUAUAGCCCUAAAGGCAUUUAUAGGGCAAAUGUAUUUUUAGAUAUUUUAUUUUGAGGGGAAAUUACUCCUAGAAGUUGAAUCAUGAUAAAACGUGUUUUUACAAAUUUUUUGAAAUUUAUUUGGAUCAAUUUGGAGUUCAAAAUCAAAACAUAUUAAAGAAAUGAGAAAAAGGGAAAAAGAAAAGGCUAAAAGAAAAACAAAGGAAGAAACCGGACCGGCCCGGUCGUUUUGGGCCGAACCGGCCCAGUCCCGACCGCGCCUGAGCCGAACUGAGCCAGCCC
rnacentral:lncRNA from 1 species